GGAGGGUUGGCAGAGUCCGGUUGAAUGCGCAUGACUCGAAAUCAUGUGUGGGCGCAAGCUCACCGGGGGUUCGAAUCCCUCACCCUCCGCCA
rnacentral:tRNA from 4 species